rnacentral:rRNA from 1 species
UACAGAGGGUGCGAACGUUGCUCGGAAUUACUGGGCGUAAAGCGCGUGUAGGCGGUCCGUUAAGUUGGUAGUGAAAUCCCAUGGCUCAACCAUGGAAGUGCUGCCAAAAACUGGCGGGCUGGAGUGCCGGAGAGGGUGGCGGAAUUCCCAGUGUAGAGGUGAAAUUCGUAGAUAUUGGGAGGAACACCGGUGGCGAAGGCGGCCACCUGGACGGUAACUGACGCUAAGACGCGAAAGCGUGGGGAGCAAACAGG